rnacentral:piRNA from 1 species
AGCCUAAGGGAAAAAAGUUUCAGGCAGGC